UAGUCUUUGGCUUCCAUAUCCUUCCU
rnacentral:piRNA from 2 species